rnacentral:rRNA from 1 species
GACGAACGCUGGCGGUAUGCUUAACACAUGCAAGUCGAACGAGAAGUUUUUUAUUGAACCUUCGGGGGAUAUAAGAGACAGACAGUGGCGAACGGGUGAGUAACGCGUGGGCAACCUACCUAUCGGAGCGGGAUAGCCUCGAGAAAUCGGGAGUAAAACCGCAUAACACGGAUAUAUCGCAUGAUGAAUCCGUCAAAACUCCGGUGCCGAUAGAUGGGCCCGCGUCUGAUUAGCUAGUUGGUAAGGUAAGGGCUUACCAAGGCAACGAUCAGUAGCCGGUGUGAGAGGGCGAACGGCCACACUGGAACUGAGACACGGUCCAGACUCCUACGGGAGGCAGCAGUGGGGAAUAUUGCGCAAUGGGGGCAACCCUGACGCAGCAAUACCGCGUGAGUGAAGAAGGUUUUCGGAUCGUAAAGCUCUGUUAUUGGGGAAGAAGCAGGACGGUA